UACGUAGGGUGCGAGCGUUAAUCGGAAUUACUGGGCGUAAAGCGUGCGCAGGCGGUUCGUUAAGUUCGUUGUGAAAGUCCCGGGCUCAACCUGGGAAUGGCAAUGGAAACUGGCGAGCUUGAGUGUGGCAGAGGGGGGUGGAAUUCCGCGUGUAGCAGUGAAAUGCGUAGAGAUGCGGAGGAACACCGAUGGCGAAGGCAGCCCCCUGGGCCAACACUGACGCUCAGGCACGAAAGCGUGGGGAGCAAACAGG
rnacentral:rRNA from 1 species